AUCUACAGGCUUAACACAUGCAAGUCGAGGGGCAGCAUGGUCUUAGCUUGCUAAGGCCGAUGGCGACCGGCGCACGGGUGAGUAACACGUAUCCAACCUGCCGUCUACUCUUGGACAGCCUUCUGAAAGGAAGAUUAAUACAAGAUGGCAUCAUGAGUCCGCAUGUUCACAUGAUUAAAGGUAUUCCGGUAGACGAUGGGGAUGCGUUCCAUUAGAUAGUAGGCGGGGUAACGGCCCACCUAGUCUUCGAUGGAUAGGGGUUCUGAGAGGAAGGUCCCCCACAUUGGAACUGAGACACGGUCCAAACUCCUACGGGAGGCAGCAGUGAGGAAUAUUGGUCAAUGGGCGAGAGCCUGAACCAGCCAAGUAGCGUGAAGGAUGACUGCCCUAUGGGUUGUAAACUUCUUUUAUAAAGGAAUAAAGUCGGGUAUGGAUACCCGUUUGCAUGUACUUUAUGAAUAAGGAUCGGCUAACUCCGUGCCAGCAGCCGCGGUAAUACGGAGGAUCCGAGCGUUAUCCGGAUUUAUUGGGUUUAAAGGGAGCGUAGAUGGAUGUUUAAGUCAGUUGUGAAAGUUUGCGGCUCAACCGUAAAAUUGCAGUUGAUACUGGAUAUCUUGAGUGCAGUUGAGGCAGGCGGAAUUCGUGGUGUAGCGGUGAAAUGCUUAGAUAUCACGAAGAACUCCGAUUGCGAAGGCAGCCUGCUAAGCUGCAACUGACAUUGAGGCUCGAAAGUGUGGGUAUCAAACAGGAUUAGAUACCCUGGUAGUCCACACGGUAAACGAUGAAUACUCGCUGUUUGCGAUAUACUGCAAGCGGCCAAGCGAAAGCGUUAAGUAUUCCACCUGGGGAGUACGCCGGCAACGGUGAAACUCAAAGGAAUUGACGGGGGCCCGCACAAGCGGAGGAACAUGUGGUUUAAUUCGAUGAUACGCGAGGAACCUUACCCGGGCUUAAAUUGCAGAUGAAUUACGGUGAAAGCCGUAAGCCGCAAGGCAUCUGUGAAGGUGCUGCAUGGUUGUCGUCAGCUCGUGCCGUGAGGUGUCGGCUUAAGUGCCAUAACGAGCGCAACCCUUGUUGUCAGUUACUAACAGGUUCCGCUGAGGACUCUGACAAGACUGCCAUCGUAAGAUGUGAGGAAGGUGGGGAUGACGUCAAAUCAGCACGGCCCUUACGUCCGGGGCUACACACGUGUUACAAUGGGGGGUACAGAGGGCCGCUACCACGCGAGUGGAUGCCAAUCCCCAAAACCUCUCUCAGUUCGGACUGGAGUCUGCAACCCGACUCCACGAAGCUGGAUUCGCUAGUAAUCGCGCAUCAGCCACGGCGCGGUGAAUACGUUCCCGGGCCUUGUACACACCGCCCGUCAAGCCAUGGGAGCCGGGGGUACCUGAAGUGCGUAACCGCGAGGAGCGCCCUAGGGUAAAACUGGUGACUGGGGC
rnacentral:rRNA from 1 species